rnacentral:rRNA from 1 species
CAUUAUUGAAAAUAAACCUGAUGAGUUGCUGCUGGCUCUCUAGGGAGUAUUGUGCACACUUGUCAUCUUUAUAUCUCCACCUGUGCACCUUUUGUAGACCUGGAUAUCUCUCUGAGUGCUUAGCACUUCAGGUUUGAGGAUUGACUUUAUUGUUCUCUCUUUAUAUUUCCAGGCCUAUGUUUCUUCAUAUACACAUUGUAUGUUAUAGAAUGUAGUAAUUAGGCCUUUGUGCCUAUAAACCUAUACAACUUUCAGCAACGGAUCUCUUGGCUCUCGCAUCGAUGAAGAACGCAGCGAAAUGCGUUAAGUAAUGUGAAUUGCAGAAUUCAGUGAAUCAUCGAAUCUUUGAACGCACCUUGCGCUCCUUGGUAUUCCGAGGAGCAUGCCUGUUUGAGUGUCAUUAAUAUAUCAACCUCUUCAACUUUUGUUGAGUGUUGGAUGUGGGGGUUUUUUGCUGGCCUCUCUGAGUUCAGCUUCCCUGAAAUACAUUAGCGGAACAAUUUGUUCAUUGGCGUGAUAAUCUAUCUAUGCUAUUGACAUGAAGCAGUUCAGCUUAUAACAGUCCAUUGAAUUGGACAAAUUUUUAUCUAUUAAUGUGACCUCAAAUC